AUUGAACGCUGGCGGCAUGCCUAACACAUGCAAGUCGAACGGCAGCACAAUAACGAUCUCGGCCUUUAUGGGUGGCGAGUGGCGGACGGGUGAGCUACGCGUAGGAAUCUGUCCUGGAGAGUGGGAUAACCGGCGGAAACUCGGGCUAAUACUGCAUGACAUUGAGAAAUCAAAAGCAGGGGACCGUAACGCCUUGCGCCCUGGGGAGAGCGUACGUCGGAUGAGCUAGUUGGUGGGGUAAAGGCCAACCAAGGCGACGAUCCGUAACUGGUCUGAGAGGAUGACCAGCCACACUGGGACUGAGACACGGCCCAGACUCCUACGGGAGGCAGCAGUGGGGAAUCUUGGACAAUGGGGGAAACCCUGAUCCAGCGAUGCCGCGUGUGUGAAGAAGGCCUUCGGGUUGUAAAGCACUUUAGGUGGGGAAGAAAGGUAGCGAGUGAAUAACUUUCUGCUGUGACGGUACCCACAGAAUAAGCACCGGCUAACUCUGUGCCAGCAGCCGCAGUAA
rnacentral:rRNA from 1 species